UAGUCAGAGGGAGUAGACGCGAAACCAAGUGAUCUACCCUUGGUCAGGUUGAAGGUUGGGUAAAACCAACUGGAGGACCGCACCGGUAAGCGUUGAAAAGCUUUCGGAUGAACUGAGGGUAGGGGUGAAAGGCUAAUCAAACUUGGAGAUAGCUCGUACUCCCCGAAAUGCAUUUAGGUGCAGCCUGUGGAGUUUCUUACGUGAGGUAGAGCGACUGAUUGGAUGCGAGGCUUUCACCGGCUAUCAAGUCCAGACAAACUCCGAAUGCACGUUAAGUAAGAUCCACGGAGUGAGGGCAUGGGUGCUAAGGUCCAUGUCCGAGAGGAGAAGAAUCCAGACCAUCGGCUAAGGUCCCGAAAUAAUAGCUAAGUUGACCAAACGAAGUCAGAGUGCGAAGACAGCUAGGAUGUUGGCUUGGAAGCAGCCAUUCAUUUAAAGAGUGCGUAACAGCUCACUAGUCGAGUGCUUUGGCGUGGAUAAUAAUCGGGCAUAAGCUAUUUACCGAAGCUGUGGGAUGUGUAAACAUCGGUAGGGGAGCAUUCUAGCGACGCUGAAGGUGAGAGGACAACUCUUGCUGGAGUUUCUAGAAAAGCAAAUGUAGGUAUAAGUAACGAUAAAGGAGGUGAGAAACCUCCUCGCCGAAAGACUAAGGGUUCCUGAUCAACGCUAAUCGGAUCAGGGUUAGUCGGGGCCUAAGGGGAAGCCGAACGGCGUACCCGAUGGAAGAACCGGUUAAUAUUCCGGUACUAAUUAUGUGAGCGAUGUGGAGACGGAGAUGUGACGGUCCUGCCAACUGACGGAAUAGUUGGUUGAAGGGUGUAGGAGUUGAUCUGAGUAGGCAAAUCCGCUCGGAGAUCCGAACCUGACAGUACUCUGAGUGCUUGCACAAGGAGAUAUGGACAACUGUAACGGUGCUCCCAAGAAAAUCCGCUAAGCAUAUUGCAUGAUUACCCGUACCAUAAACCGACACAGGUGGUUGGGUUGAGUAUACUAAGGCGCUCGAGUGAUUCGCGGUUAAGGAACUAGGCAAAAUAGUCCUGUAACUUCGGAAUAAAGGACGCUCACAGUGAAGGCUGUGAGCCGCAGAGAAUAGGCCCAGGCGACUGUUUAACAAAAACACAUGGCUAUGCUAAAUCGAAAGAUACUGUAUAUAGCCUGACACCUGCCCGGUGCUGGAAGGUUAAGAGGAGAUGUCAUCGCAAGAGAAGCAUUGAAUUGAAGCCCCAGUAAACGGCGGCCGUAACUAUAACGGUCCUAAGGUAGCGAAAUUCCUUGUCGGGUAAGUUCCGACCUGCACGAAUGGUGUAACGAUCUGGGUACUGUCUCAACCGCGAGCUCGGUGAAAUUGUAGUAUCGGUGAAGAUGCCGAUUACCCGCAACGGGACGAAAAGACCCCGUGAACCUUUACUAUAGCUUUGCAUUGGAUUUGGGUAACAAAUGUGUAGGAUAGGCCGGAGACUAUGAAGCGGGUACGCCAGUAUUCGUGGAGUCGCCGUUGAAAUACGGCCCUUUUGUUAUUUGGGUUCUAACUCGCGGAUGCGAGGACAUUGCAUGGUGGGUAGUUUGACUGGGGUGGUCGCCUCCAAAAGUGUAACGGAGGCUUCUAAAGGUACCCUCAGACCGAUUGGUAACCGGUCGUAGAGUGUAAUGGCACAAGGGUGCUUGACUGGGAGACUAACAAGUCGCACAGGUAGGAAACUAGAGCAUAGUGAUCCGGUGGUUCCGUAUGGAAGGGCCAUCGCUCAAAGGAUAAAAGGUACUCCGGGGAUAACAGGCUGAUCGCUCCCAAGAGCUCAUAUCGACGGAGCGGUUUGGCACCUCGAUGUCGGCUCGUCACAUCCUGGGGCUGGAGAAGGUCCCAAGGGUUGGGCUGUUCGCCCAUUAAAGUGGCACGCGAGCUGGGUUCAGAACGUCGUGAGACAGUUCGGUCUCUAUCUGUUGUGGGCGUUUGAGAUUUGAGGGGGCCUGACACUAGUACGAGAGGACCGUGUUGGACGAACCGCUGGUUUAUCGGUUAUGCCGCCAGGCGUAUUGCCGAGUAGCUACGUUCGGUUGAGAUAAGUGCUGAAAGCAUCUAAGUACGAAGCUUGCCUCAAGAUUAGAUCUCAUUAUAAGGGUGGUUAUAGACGAUGACCUUGAUAGGCUACAGGUGUAAAGGCGGUGACGUCAAAGCCGAGUAGUACUAAUAGCCCGAAAGUUUUUGCG
rnacentral:rRNA from 1 species